rnacentral:rRNA from 1 species
UACGGGGGGGGCAAGCGGUUGUUCGGAAUUACUGGGCGUAAAGGGCUCGUAGGCGGCCAACUAAGUCAGACGUGAAAUCCCCUCGGCUUAACCGGGGAACUGCGUCUGAUACUGGAUGGCUUGAGUUUGGGAGAGGGAUGCGGAAUUCCAGGUGUAGCGGUGAAAUGCGUAGAUAUCUGGAGGAACACCGGUGGCGAAGGCGGCAUCCUGGACCAACACUGACGCUGAGGAGCGAAAAGCCAGGGGAGCAAAGCGGG